rnacentral:lncRNA from 1 species
UAUGAUUACAUAUUAUUCAUUGUAUAUUGUUUCAGCUGUCAACUUUAUUCUGAAUUAAAAAAAUAGUUGUCCCAUGCUCCAAGCAUGUACACUAUGUUUUUCUAAACACUAGUCAUGCCACACACCAAGUAUGCAUACUAUGUUUGUCUAUGAUCUUUACUUUGUGAAAUAGAUCAAUUGAACAUAACUCCAAUGAUUCUCAUUUCACAGUCCCAAAUCUUACUGCGAGUGCAAGAAUUCCAAGUUCAUGCCAUUUACUGAGAUCUGUUAGAUUCUAAACUUAUAUGCAUUGAUCCUCUUGUAAUGAUUAUGCACAAAUUCACAAAGACUUGGCAACAAUCAUAACAUCCUUCUUGCAUUAAGUUUCCUAAUUAUACAGAUUGAAUACUUUCUAACUUUGAAGCAUUUUCAAAUUCCAUUUUGACUAUCACUUCUGAAUAAGAAUUGCCUCCUUAUAGAUUAUGUCAAUAUGGUCCUUCCAGAAUUAAUACCAUACUUCCAACUGUCCUUGAGCAACCAAUGUUUGGUAAACCUGANCAACCAAUCUUUGGUAAACCUUAGAUUGUCCUCGACAAUUGUUUAAUCCUUUUAGUCAUAUC